UAUGAUGCUGUUGAUGGGAU
rnacentral:miRNA from 1 species